AGAAAGAGCGAUCUGGCUGCGACAUCUGGCACCCCCUUGAUCGCCAGGGUUGAUUCGGCUGAUCUGGCUGGCUAGGCGGGAGUCCCCUUCCUCCCUCACUGCUCCAUGUGAGUCCCUCCCGAAGCUGCGCGCUCGGUCGAAGAGGACGACCAUCCCCGAUAGAGGAGGACCGGUCUUCGGUCAAGGGUACAUGAGUAGCUGCGCUCCCCUGCUAGAACCUCCAAACAAGCUCUUGCUAUUUCUAAUGCAUUUAUAGUGUACCAUGGAUUCUGUUCUUUCAACCACACAGGCUCUGU
ensembl:misc_RNA 7SK 7SK RNA